UACGGAGGAUCCAAGCGUUGUCCGGAUUUAUUGGGUUUAAAGGGUGCGUAGGCGGAUCUUUAAGUCAGUGGUGAAAGCCUGCAGCUCAACUGUAGAACAGCCAUUGAAACUGAAGAUCUUGAAUUAAGUUAAAGUAGGCGGAAUGUAUCAUGUAGCGGUGAAAUGCUUAGAUAUGAUACAGAACACCGAUAGCGAAGGCAGCUUGCUGAACUUACAUUGACGCUGAGGCACGAAAGCGUGGGGAGCGAACAGG
rnacentral:rRNA from 1 species